GGAUUGAGCUGUUGAAGUGAAGGAGGAGUCUACAGAGAGGUGCUGCAUUUGACAACUCUCAGCCUCUGUAAGAUGUGUGUUGUUUUUUUAAGGCAAUCUGUUCCUACCCUUAAUUAGGUAAGUGGCAUAUCCUAUUCUACAUUGGUUAUUCAUAUCUGAUACACAUAUUUAAAUUUAGCAGUAUGUCAAGUAGGGGCUAGACACCUGUAAUAAGAGACAGUAGAGAAAUAUAAAGUGAACCAAAGCUUCAGACUCUUACAUCUGCUUCUAACAGGCUGUCCUGCAAAACAGAGGCGUCCUAGAUUGUGCUGCUGAACAGUUUAAAGAAUCAGUGCAAGCUUCUUGCUUAAUUCUGUUUAGCUGAAGCCAUGGACACAUGUCCUCCCACAACCACAGAUGUGUUUGCUAAUGAAGCACUGUAAGCUC
rnacentral:lncRNA from 1 species